GAUUUUAGGGCACCAAACGGCUUGAGAUGGAAACGGGAUCAAGGAUGAGCAUCCCAUCUUCUUAUAAGGACGCCUUACGCACGUUGAAAGUGGUGAAUCCCGUGCAAAUCGGGAUUUGGUGCCAUCGGAGUUGAGUCCGGCUCAAGAACGGCAGGUGGAAGACGGCUACUCAGUGGGCCCCACAUGUCGGUCACUAAGCACGUGGGGCCGAGCUGUCAGCAUGAGAAGAGAGGGGGGAAAGGCGUGCCCUAUCUGGGCCGGCUGCUAGCUGGGCCGCGGUGUGGAGAGGGAGCCCAGGCGCGCGCUGCCGGUCUGCGGGGUGGGAAGGGGAGCUGGGCCUCUGGUUGCUGGGCCAACAGGCCGAGAGGGGAAGGGGUUGGGCUGCGGGGAGAGGGAGGGGUUUUGUCUUUUCUUUUGUUCCUUUUCUUCUUCUUUUUGUUUUUUUUUCAAAGCCAUUUCAAAACAAGUUUGAAAAUCAUUUUUAAAACAGUUUGACUUACCUUGAACUUUAAUUAAGUCCACACAAUUCAAUAAAACAAAUGCCCCAAAAAUGAAUGCACAAUCAUAUUGCUAAAUCCUAUAAUAAAUUUUAUUUUAAUGAAAAAUAUUAUUUUUCCUACAUUUCAUGAGCACCAAAAUACAAAAUUAAAUCAUUUUUCAUCUAUUUCAAAAGAAGUAAAUUUUAGGGUGUUACAAUUCUACCCCCCUUAAGAUGAAUCUCGUCCUCGAGAUUCGGAAGAUGGUGAUCAAAGAGAUGUAGAUACUCCGCUUUUGAACCUUGUGCACUUCCUUGAGUAGCUCUUUCUUAGUAACCAUUCUAUGGCCUUUGUCACUCUGAACAUCUCCAUCAAUGGUUCCCAAGAGUUUAGCAAUGUAAUUCGUAUAGAUAAGGUUUUUCUUUUUACUCAUAGCUUAUCUGGGGUAUAUGUUCCUUGCCCAUCCAUUUAAAACCUGAUGCAUUUCCAACCAUGAUAUACUCAACUUUCUCCUUAUUCCAAAGUGAGCCCUAAUAAUUACAAAAUUUGUAGUGUUAGUAAUAUCACUCAACCUCCGCACACAAAUCCUCAAAUCUAGGUGUUGUCCAAACUUUUCCUAGCGCACUCUUUACGCUAAGAGCUUUGGCAUCGACAUAUACUUCUCCAUAAUUCCACCACUAGAGACAACAUAUUCAAUUAGAGAACUUAGUUCGCUCAAAACUUACUAGCCAUGUAUGGUGAAAUAAUAAGGUUUCAUAACUCUCUGAAGAAUCAUCCGUAGAUGUUCGAUAUCCCUUUCCAAUAUCAUUAAUGUCAACUUGUCUUGGGU
rnacentral:lncRNA from 1 species